UUGAUGAAGUGGAAUAAGGUUCCUCCGGCUCCUUCCCGUCGCGGCGGUGCUCCCUCUGAUGGCGCUGCGGCUCUAGGGAGGUUGGUCUCUCUCUGAUCCGGGCAUCCGGCGAGGUUUGGUUGGUGAAGGGGUUGUACAGAAGUUGGGGUUUGUGGAGAGGGAUUCCCAGAUCCGGUCACCACGGACGACCGGCAGCUGCGGGCGAAGUUGCUGGAGUUGCUGCUGCACUCCGGUGUAGGCUGGCGCUGGUGGCAGCUUCAAGGACCGGGGAGCAGGGGUACCCCCGACUGAUGCACCAAACCCGUUCCUGGUUCUGUCUUAUGCGGCAGGGCUUGUAUGCGGCCCACAAAGCCAUGGAUUGGCGAUAGUGCUCCUCGCACCGGCGGGUGUAGAGAUCAGCAUGCCUUGGUGAAGAAUUAAGAUGAGCUGGGCUCAGCGGCAGGAUCUCCAUGAGUAGGCCAUGGAGGAUAUCUGCCGGUGGCGACCUACUCGUUCCUGAUGGCUCCGGUGCCCCAAGG